GGUGGCACCACCUGACCCCAUGCCGAACUCAGAAGUGAAACGCCGUAGCGCCGAUGGUAGUGUGGGGUCUCCCCAUGCGAGAGUAGGGAACUGCCAGGC
rnacentral:rRNA from 1 species